rfam:TPA: Aspergillus nidulans FGSC A4 chromosome VIII
GCCUGGAUGGUCUAGUCGUAUGAUUCUCGCUUUGGGCUACCAAGUCUCGAAUGCGAGAGGUCCCGGGUUCAAAUCCCGGUUCGGGCC